rnacentral:rRNA from 1 species
UCAUUGCUGGAACAAACGCCCUCACGGGUGCUACCCAGAAACCCUUUGUGAACUUAUUCUCAACACGUUGCCUCGGCAGUGACCGGCUUCUUUCCGAGGUCCCUUCUUUGCUGCAAAGAAGGAGCAGGUCGGCCGGUGGCCCCUAUAAACGCUUGUUUUUACACUGUAUCUUCUGAGUAUACAACUAUAAAUGAAUCAAAACUUUUAACAACGGAUCUCUUGGUUCUGGCAUCGAUGAAGAACGCAGCGAAAUGCGAUAAGUAAUGUGAAUUGCAGAAUUCAGUGAAUCAUCGAAUCUUUGAACGCACAUUGCGCCCGCUGGUAUUCCAGCGGGCAUGCCUGUUCGAGCGUCAUUUCAACCCUCAAAACCUCGGUUUUGGUGUUGGAGGAAUACCUGGUAAAAAGGGUACCCUCUGAAAUUUAGUGGCGGGCUCGCUAGAAUUUUGAGCGUAGUAAUUUAUACCUCGUUUUGAAAGUCCAGCGGUUCUCUUGCCGUAAAACCCCC